AUGUGUUGCGACUUUUGGAGCCAGGACAGGAUCUACAUCGUGCGAAAAUGAACUUAAAAGUCGUUUUACUUCUAACGCUUCUAAUCUCAUAUACGGUCGCAAAUGCCAGUGACUAUAACAUUUGCGCGUGCCCGUUGAACUAUAAUCCAGUGUGCGGAUCUAAUGGCGUAACCUACGAGAACGAGGAUUGUAUGAAGUGUCAAAACCCCGGUGUCAGAAAAAUUAAAGAUGGCCGAUGCUGAACUCUGCAAAAUUAUUUUUUUAAUAAAUGAUUACGUUAAUAUAUUUUGUA